GACGAACGCUGGCGGCGUGCUUAACACAUGCAAGUCGAACGGUGACGAGGAGCUUGCUCCUCUGAUCAGUGGCGAACGGGUGAGUAACACGUGAGCAACCUGCCCCAGACUCUGGGAUAACAGUUGGAAACAGCUGCUAAUACCGGAUACGAGACGGAGAGGCAUCUCUACCGUCUGGAAAGUUUUUCGGUCUGGGAUGGACUCGCGGCCUAUCAGCUAGUUGGUGAGGUAAUGGCUCACCAAGGCGACGACGGGUAGCCGGCCUGAGAGGGCGACCGGCCACACUGGGACUGAGACACGGCCCAGACUCCUACGGGAGGCAGCAGUGGGGAAUAUUGCACAAUGGGCGAAAGCCUGAUGCAGCGACGCCGCGUGAGGGAUGACGGCCUCGGUUGUAACCGUACUUCUAGCGACGGAGAAGACGAAAGUAGACGGUACCGUCGCAGAAGAAGACACCGGACCGUAACGUAACGUACGCCGACGCGAGCCGCGGUAAACGACGACG
rnacentral:rRNA from 1 species